rnacentral:rRNA from 1 species
CAAGAGCGUAUGUAAAAGUUGUUGCAGUUAAAAAGCUCGUAGUUGAACCUUGGGUUUGGUUGGCCGGUCCGCUUUUUUGCGAGUACUGGAUUCAACCGAGCCUUUCCUUCUGGUUAACCAGUCGUUUCGGCGGCUGGCGAACCAGGAUUUUUACUUUGAGAAAAUUAGAGUGUUCAAAGCAGGCAUUAGCUUGAAUAUAUUAGCAUGGAAUAAUAGAAUAGGACGUUAUGGUUCUAUUUUGUUGGUUUCUAGGACCAUCGUAAUGAUUAAUAGGGACGGUCGGGGGCAUCAGUAUUCAGUUGUCAGAGGUGAAAUUCUUGGAUUUACUGAAGACUAACUACUGCGAAAGCAUUUGCCAAGGACGUUUUCAUUAA